GAUGAACGCUAGCUACAGGCUUAACACAUGCAAGUCGAGGGGCAGCAUGGUCUUAGCUUGCUAAGGCCGAUGGCGACCGGCGCACGGGUGAGUAACACGUAUCCAACCUGCCGUCUACUCUUGGACAGCCUUCUGAAAGGAAGAUUAAUACAAGAUGGCAUCAUGAGUCCGCAUGUUCACAUGAUUAAAGGUAUUCCGGUAGACGAUGGGGAUGCGUUCCAUUAGAUAGUAGGCGGGGUAACGGCCCACCUAGUCUUCGAUGGAUAGGGGUUCUGAGAGGAAGGUCCCCCACAUUGGAACUGAGACACGGUCCAAACUCCUACGGGAGGCAGCAGUGAGGAAUAUUGGUCAAUGGGCGAGAGCCUGAACCAGCCAAGUAGCGUGAAGGACGACUGCCCUAUGGGUUGUAAACUUCCUUUAUAAAGGAAUAAAGUCGGGUAUGGAUACCCGUUUGCAUGUACUUUAUGAAUAAGGAUCGGCUAACUCCGUG
rnacentral:rRNA from 1 species